CCCUUAGAUGUUCUGGGCCGCACGCGCGCUACACUGAUGCAUUCAACGAGCCUAUCCUUGACCGACAGGUCCGGGUAAUCUUUGAAUCUGCAUCGUGACGGGGAUAGAUUAUUGCAAUUAUUAAUCUUCAACGAGGAAUGCCUAGUAGGCGCAAGCCAUCAGCUUGCGUCGAUUACGUCCCUGCCCUUUGUACACACCGCCCGUCGCUCCUACCGAUUGGGUGUGCUGGUGAAAUGUUCGGAUCGGCCGUUUGUCGCGGUUUCCGCGUCAUGUGGCUGAGAAGUUCAUUAAACCCUCCCACCGAGAGGAAGGAGAAGUCGUAACA
rnacentral:rRNA from 1 species